UGACCUCGGAUCAGGUAGGAAUACCCGCUGAACUUAAGCAUAUCAAUAAGCGGAGGAAAAGAAACCAACAGGGAUUGCCCUAGUAACGGCGAGUGAAGCGGCAACAGCUCAAAUUUGAAAUCUGGCUACUUUGUAGUCCGAGUUGUAAUUUGUAGAGGAUGCUUUUGGUGAAGUGCUUUCUGAGUUCCCUGGAACGGGACGCCAGAGAGGGUGAGAGCCCCGUACAGUUAGCAACUGAUCCUUUGUAUAGCUCCUUCGACGAGUCGAGUAGUUUGGGAAUGCUGCUCUAAAUGGGAGGUAUAUCUCUUCUAAAGCUAAAUAUAGGCUAGAGACCGAUAGCGCACAAGUAGAGUGAUCGAAAGAUGAAAAGCACUUUGAAAAGAGAGUUAAACAGCACGUGAAAUUGUUGAAAGGGAAGCGCCUAUGACCAGACUUGUCUCUAUCAGUUUUGGUAGUUUUCGGACUGCUUUACUCUGUUAGUACAGGCCAACAUCAGUUUGUUGUCGGGGAGAAAGGCUUAGGGAAUGUGGCUCCCUCGGGAGUGUUAUAGACCUUUGCAUAAUACCCUUCG
rnacentral:rRNA from 1 species